UAUAACAUUUGUGAGAAAAGAAACGUGUGAGUUCUCUCUUUCUCGGAAGAACUGUGAGCUGAAGAGUUGAAGAACAGAGAUGAAAAACUGAAGUCGAAGAACUGGUUUCCUCAAGCGUGAGUUCGAUUCUCAUCUCCGAUAACAAUUUCGUCAAGCAAGAGGAGAAUGAUAAGGAAUUGAUUACUUUGCGGUUGUUUGCUAAGAAGACGAUCUCUAGCAGAACUGAAGCUAAGGCCACGAUUUCAGACAGAACAGAAGAGCUCAACAGCUGAAGAGCUUCUCGCUGAAGGACACGAUUUUCAUAAUAGUUCUCUUAUAAAAUAGGAUUUUGUUUGAAUAGGGUUUAUCAGGUAGAUUAUGAUAUCGAUCUAGAUAAAUAGGCAUUAGUAUCGGUUGGUUCAGUAGGGUAUUGUGGCAAAUGGGUCUAUGCCCUUCCCUACAACUACAAAACCAGAGGUAAUACACUACAACCCGAACUUGGUUUAUCUGAUGCUUGGCUGAAGCUUACUUGCAAGCACAGCAUCUGUCUCUUAGUCCUCUUUGGACAACCUUUAAUCAGAGAAAGAAAACCUACAUUCUAUCAAUCUUAGAGAGAAUCUCUAUUCUACAUAAUACGUUGAAUCCAAACUUGGAAUAUAUACUAUCUGCAGGGAUAUUGAUGAAUUCUUGAAAAAUUUUUCUGCAUUGCCACCAAGGUCUCUGGAUCCUUCAAAGGACUUAGUUGUUGAUAGAUAUGGAAGUAUAGCUAGGAAGGAGAGAAUGAAACGUUGGACCCAAAAGCAAGAUAUGAAAAAAAGAUGCAGAGGAUGGCUAAGAUGAAUUUGAUUUAUCACUGUAUGUUUUAACAUUACCGGUUUUAAAAAAAAUACUUAUCAGUGUAUGUUUUGCAGAAGCCAACAUCUCUAACUUGUUGAAUUUGUAUUGUGUUCAUUUAGUUUCCGUAAUAUGUAUAACAUGCAUAUCUAAAGUAAACCUUCUAGUUAAUUUUUUCUUAUGUAACUCCCAGGUCAGUACUAGUUUCAAUUAUAUUGCAGCAGUUAACAAGUAGUACUAUUUAAUGUGUUAGUUCUAUGUUUUGAAGUGACAGAUAGAUAUCCAAACAUUUAUGGAAUUGUCAUAUUGCUGAUUUUGUAUUACUUUUGUGGAAUUAGGUUAAAUGAAGCAACACAACCAUUAUCAAGGAGAUUUCCUAUUCCAUCUAGCCAAAUCAAUCCAUACAGAAUCAUCAUCAUGAUUCGUCUCAUUGUUCUUGGUUUUUUGUUUCAUUAUAAAAUCAUUCAUCCUGUGGACGAUUUUUAUGGUUUGUGGCUAGUCUCUGUAAUAUGUGAAAUUUGGUUUGUUGUCUCAUGGAUUCCUAAUCCAUUUCCUAAGUAGCUUCUUGACCACAAGUAAGAAACUAAAUUCAGGCAAUCUCCUGUUUUUAUUGUACCAACACUGGUAGAAAAUGUUGGGACUCUUUAAAGUGCUAGUACAACUUCUCACGGGUACACUUUCAUUUUGAAUAUUCUAGUACAUCACUUGUUUUCUUAAUUGAUCUCAAUGUCUUAUUGGGAGAGACUUCAAAUUAUUAUUUUUUUGAUAUAAUCUUUGUUAUUUGUUUUCUUCUUGUUUUGUCACAAGGAAAGGAGCAACAUUGACAUAUGAUACUCGUACAAAUCUUCCAUUUUUUAGUUCAUUUACUACAUCAGACUAUGUUGCUACUCAGCGGCUUACGUGAGAAUUUUUUUUUAAGUUAGCUAUACUAAAGUAAUCUAACCCAGUCAUGGAUUACUUUAAGACAUCAUCUGAGUGAACUGGUCUGAUGUUAUUGUUGUCAUCUAAGAAUGUAGAAAUAUUGUGGCAUAUGAAAAAACUGAAAAACGUCCAAUAGUUGUAUCUUACCUUAGGUUUACUUUUACACUGAAGUAUUUGCCAAAACUUUUAAGAUGAUACCUUUUGAACCUACAUUCCAAUCCAAGCAUAUGACUUGAUAAGAUAUAGUGGAGUAUCUACUAUCCUGAGAGUAAUGCUUCAUUCAGAAAGGAGAAAAUGAUCUAGGACCAUUGUCUUCUAAUUUCUGGCUUUUUUCUGUCAUUAUGUAUAUUCUUUUAUGCUUAGUUUGUGCAUAUACUCUUUAAUGCUAACCUUUCCAAUUUGUGUCGUAUACAUUUCUUACAGAUACAAACAGAAAUUGAUCUUUAAGAAUUACAGGAAACAUUACUGGUAUACCUUCGUCACAUGCAAAAUGAGUCCCUCCCUUGUGUACCUAAUUUCCCUUCACAAGAGAGCUCGGGAUCUGUGGAAUCACUGUGCCUUGGAAAAUAUUCAGAGGAGACUUGUGCACUUAUUUUUUUUUCCGUUAUAACCAUUAUUUCUUUGAUUAACUCAUAGCAAGUUCCUCUUGUAGUGGUUUAAUGAUGUCUUCUCAACAGAUACAUCUGACAAGUGUGAGAAUGUUCUCAGUCGACUAUCAGCAUAAAUGCACUGUAUGCCUAUAUCUAUUAUUACAUUCUUCAUUACUAGCGUCAACCAAGUAAGGCGUAGAAUCACCAUUGGUAGGAGAGUCUCAAGUUUAUGUGUUUUGAAGUUAUAUUUAUGUUAUAUUAUAGGAUAUGACUAUAUGUGCUUAUGUUGA